UGGGGGAUUUUGCACAAUGGGGGAAACCCUGAUGCAGCGACGCCGCGUGAUUUAGAAGGCCUUCGGGUUGUAAAAAUCUUUUCUAUGGGAAGAAAAUGACAGUACCAUAGGAAUAAGGACCGGCUAAUUACGUGCCAGCAGCCGCGGUAAUACGUAAGGUCCGAGCGUUGUCCGGAAUCAUUGGGCGUAAAGGGUACGUAGGCGGGUAAGCAAGUUAGAAGUGAAAUCCUAUAGCUCAACUAUAGUAAGCUUUUAAAACUGCUCAUCUUGAGGUAUGGAAGGGAAAGUGGAAUUCCUAGUGUAGCGGUGAAAUGCGCAGAUAUUAGGAGGAAUACCGGUGGCGAAGGCGACUUUCUGGCCAUAACCUGACGCUGAGGUACGAAAGCGUGGGUAGCAAACAGG
rnacentral:rRNA from 1 species